rnacentral:lncRNA from 1 species
AAUAAUAAUAAUAAUAAUAAAUAAAGCCACUUGUUGGGCUAGAGGCAGAAGCAUGUACUUUCUUGGGGUCUGGCAGUGACUUUUCCUCCUUCUUCACAGACACUGGCAGCCCACAAGGGAACAUGUUCAUCUUGAAAGCACCUGGCAGGGAAGGCAUGGAUGGGGCUGGCUUGGUGGAAAGACCCCAUUUCUCAAACCCAGCUUUCUGCACAAAAUUAUUCAAAGGGAAACCUUAUCAAGCAGCCUUCUAGCUCAGUGUCAUCCAUCUUCCAAAGCUCCCCAGAAAACGUGCGAGUGCAGUUUUGCCAACUUCCGAGCAAUCAGUCGCAACGAUGAGUGAGUGUUGGUCUUCAUGGAAUCCAGAACAAAAGCAGAGGUAUGUUGAAGUGUCAGGCAAGGCCAAGUGAUCAGCAGUCAACUCUGGUGAACUCAAGUGCAGCUGAGGCUUUGCUGUGCUGUUCUGAAAGGUCUCAUGGGAACCCAGAGAAAACCGAA